GACGGGGGCCCGCACAAGCGGUGGAGCAUGUGGUUUAAUUCGAUGAUACGCGAGGAACCUUACCUGGGCUCAAAUGUAUGUUGACGUAUUCUGAAAGGGAUACUUCUUCGGACAAUAUACAAGGUGCUGCAUGGUUGUCGUCAGCUCGUGCCGUGAGGUGUCGGGUUAAGUCCCAUAACGAGCGCAACCCCUAUCAUUAGUUGCCAUCAGGUCAAGCUGGGGACUCUAAUGAAACUGCCUACGCAAGUAGUGAGGAAGGUGGGGAUGACGUCAAAUCAGCACGGCCCUUACGUCCAGGGCUACACACGUGCUACAAUGGCCGGUACAAAGGGCAGCUACCUGGUGACAGGAUGCUAAUCUCAAAAGCCGGUCUCAGUUCGGAUCGGAGUCUGCAACCCGACUCCGUGAAGUCGGAAUCGCUAGUAAUCGUGAAUCAGAAUGUCACGGUGAAUACGUUCCCGGGCCUU
rnacentral:rRNA from 1 species